CGGUUUGCCGCGUCUGCUGUGAAAGCCCGGGGCUUAACUCCGGGUGUGCAGUGGGUACGGGCAGACUAGAGUGCAGUAGGGGAGACUGGAAUUCCUGGUGUAGCGGUGAAAUGCGCAGAUAUCAGGAGGAACACCGAUGGCGAAGGCAGGUCUCUGGGCUGUUACUGACGCUGAGGAGCGAAAGCAUGGGGAGCGAACAGGAUUAGAUACCCUGGUAGUCCAUGCCGUAAACGUUGGGCACUAGGUGUGGGGGACAUUCCACGUUUUCCGCGCCGUAGCUAACGCAUUAAGUGCCCCGCCUGGGGAGUACGGCCGCAAGGCUAAAACUCAAAGGAAUUGACGGGGGCCCGCACAAGCGGCGGAGCAUGCGGAUUAAUUCGAUGCAACGCGAAGAACCUUACCAAGGCUUGACAUGGACCGGACCGCUGCAGAGAUGCAGCUUCCCUUCGGGGCUGGUUCACAGGUGGUGCAUGGUUGUCGUCAGCUCGUGUCGUGAGAUGUUGGGUUAAGUCCCGCAACGAGCGCAACCCUUGUCCUAUGUUGCCAGCACAUAAAGGUGGGGACUCAUGGGAGACUGCCGGGGUCAACUCGGAGGAAGGUGGGGAUGACGUCAAAUCAUCAUGCCCCUUAUGUCUUGGGCUUCACGCAUGCUACAAUGGCCGGUACAGUGGGUUGCGAUACUGUGAGGUGGAGCUAAUCCCUAAAAGCCGGUCUCAGUUCGGAUCGAAGUCUGCAACUCGACUUCGUGAAGUUGG
rnacentral:rRNA from 1 species